CUGAGGAAAUCUCUCGAGAGAGACCUCUCACACUUGUCUAUUGUCCUGUUGCUUCGGCGGGGCGCGGCAUCGCCGCCGGCUCUGCGGGCGAGUCCCCGCCGAAGGUCACACGCUUUACGUGCAGUCUGACGUCUACAGAAAUGAACA
rnacentral:misc_RNA from 1 species